rnacentral:rRNA from 1 species
UGGGGAAUAUUGCACAAUGGGCGCAAGCCUGAUGCAGCCAUGCCGCGUGUGUGAAGAAGGCCUUCGGGCUGUAAAGCACUUUCAGUCGUGAGGAAGGCGGGUACGUUAAUAGCGUAUUCGUUUGACGUUAGCGACAGAAGAAGCACCGGCUAACUCCGUG